GCCCUCCUGAUCCCUUUCCCAUCAGAUCUGAACACCGGUCUUGUGGUCGAAAAAGGAGGAAAAGUACAAUUCCAACUGGCCUCAGCCUCUCUGCAGGUGCAGUCCUGCUCUGAGGGGCCAGGGGGAAGACAGC
rfam:Colius striatus contig11499, whole genome shotgun sequence.